GGUGAGAUGGCCGAGUUGGUUAUGGCGUCAGGUUAAGGUUUCAACCUCAGCAGUAACAUUCAUCCUGAUGGAGAAAUCCGCCUGGGUUCGAGUCCCAGUCUCAUCA